AGAUUGAACGCUGGCGGCAGGCCUAACACAUGCAAGCCGAGCGGUAGAGAGGUGCUUGCAUCUCUUGAGAGCGGCGGACGGGUGAGUAAUGCCUAGGAAUCUGCCUAGUGGUGGGGGAUAGCGUUCGGAAACGGACGCUAAUACCGCAUACGUCCUACGGGAGAAAGCGGGGGACCUUCGGGCCUCGCGCCAUUAGAUGAGCCUAGGUCGGAUUAGCUAGUUGGUGAGGUAAUGGCUCACCAAGGCGACGAUCCGUAACUGGUCUGAGAGGAUGAUCAGUCACACUGGAACUGAGACACGGUCCAGACUCCUACGGGAGGCAGCAGUGGGGAAUAUUGGACAAUGGGCGAAAGCCUGAUCCAGCCAUGCCGCGUGUGUGAAGAAGGUCUUCGGAUUGUAAAGCACUUUAAGUUGGAGGAAGGUUGUAACUUAAUACGUUGCAACUUUGACGUUACGACAGAAUAAGCAACCGGCUAAACUUCGUGCCAGCAGCCGUA
rnacentral:rRNA from 1 species